GUGCUGCAUUGUGCAUGUUGGCUCAAAAGAACUUAGAGCGGAAGGAUGCAGAGAUUUUGGAGAGAGAGAUGAAGAAAAGGAGGCAAAGGAAAACAUCCUUGCAGCCCAUUCUGGAGACAGUUGAGCCCGGGGAUGAAGCUGAAGCAAGCUUUAGCCUCCCACCUGUUGAUGGCACAGCUUCUAGAGUGCAGAGAAAACACCCUGGUAGUGCCUUGAAGAAGAAGGUCUUGAAGAAGCAGGACAAUGUGUCCUUACUGCCCAAUAGGCCCAUCAUCCAUGGGGAUAGCAGCUUCCCACGCAGCUCCUCAGCCAUAGAGAAGAUGCGUUAGAGAGAGAGGAAUGAA